GUGAAUUUGUUGGUCAUACAGGGCCAAAGACAAGGAGAAAGAUCCAAGAAGCUGAAGGGGGGAUUCUUUUUGUUGAUGAAGCCUAUCGAUUAAUACCUAUGCAGAAGUCGGAUGACAAGGACUAUGGUUUGGAAGCACUAGAAGAGAUAAUGUCUGUUAUGGACAGCGGGAAAAUUGUAGUAAUUUUUGCAGGUUACAGUGAACCAAUGAAGCGUGUUAUCACUUCUAAUGAAGGUUUCUGUAGAAGAGUAACAAAGUUUUUCCAUUUUGACAACUUCAGCUCUGAAGACCUUGCCACAAUUCUUCAUCUUAAAAUGACCAAUCAAGCUGAUUGUAGUUUGCUCUACGGAUUCAAGUUGCAUCCUUCAUGCAGCGUUGAUGCUGUUGCUGCACUUAUCAAGGAAGAAACCACUGAAAAACAGCGCAAGGAGAUGAAUGGAGGUCUGGUCGAUCCAUUGCUAGUUAACGCAAGAGAGAAUUUGGACCUGAGACUCAGUUUUGACUGUAUAGACUCAGACGAACUACUAACGAUUACUCCAGAGGAUUUAAAAGCUGGCCUUCAAUUGUUAUCACAAACAAGAGUAGCUUAGUCCUCCUGACUUCUCUCCGAACCAAAUGGAGUGUGGAACAACGAGUUGCCACAGAAGUUAUAUGUUAUAAUUCGGGAAGAAAGUUAUAGAGAUUCUCAUAUAUCCGACCUUGGAACGGAUAUUAGCUAGAGGUAGAUUAUUGCAGGCUUGCAGGUCUGUCUGUUCUCCAUGGAUUAUUUCCUCAUGAAUUUCUCUCUUAUUUUUUCACAUAUUGCAACCUUUGUAUUAGUUAGUUCAUUGCAUUCAUUCUUGCAAUUUUACAUAUCUAUUUAAAUUAUUUCUUAUACUUGGGAUAUUCUUCAUGUUGUUUGUUAUAGGUUGGAUGAAAAUUGUUGUAUUGAACUGCUACAGAAAAAUUGUU
rnacentral:misc_RNA from 1 species